UUACCCAAAGUAUGUUGGAGGUUUGAAAUGGGGCAGUGACACAAUCUGAUUUAUGUUUUUCUUUUCUUUUCUUUUCUUUUCUUUUCUUUUUUCGUUUAGGAGACAGGGUUGCGCUCUGUUACCCAGGCUGGAGUGAUCAUGGCUCACUGCAGACUCAACCUCCUGGGCUCAAGUGAUCCUCCCACCUUAGACUCCUGAGUAGCUGGAACUACAGGCUUGCACCACCAUGCCCAGCUAAUGUUUUAACUUUUUGUAGAAAUAGGGUCUCCUGGGCUCAAGUGGUCCUCUGUCUCGGCAUCCGAAAGUGAGCCACUGUACCCAGCCUGAUUUAUGUUUUUAAGAGAUGUCCUGGCUGCUGUGUGGAGAACAGAUGGAGGCCAGGCAAGGCUGAGGAGAACAAUUCAGAGCCUGGUACAACAGACUGAGCUAGAGAUGACGGUGGCUUGAAACAGAGCAGUAAUAAUAACGGAGGAGGAGAAAACUGGUCAGAUAAAGGAAAUUACCUGAAGGCAGAGCUGACAGGAUUUGCACACGGACUGGAUGAGGAACGCAACAGAAAGGGAGAGGUCAAGAUGACUCAGGCUUUCCACUUGAGCAACUGGGCCCUGAAAUGUGGUAGUUCAGCUCCACAUUGGAUGCUUUUGGCCGAUGCCUUGGUUUUGCUCCUCCCCUAUGUGCCAGUCCUAUGAGUCUGCUAGCCUCCUGGUUCAGUGUGGAAGCCUCCUUGGCUGCAGCGGGGGUCAUGCACAGCAGCCUCAGGAGGCUGCAUUUGUCCAUCUCAGCAUCUCUUUCCCUGGGUCUGGCCCUCAACCUCUUUCUUGUAGGCUGGAAUUUGAGUGCUUCACUCCCUGAACUCUGGAGGAUUUUAACAUAGUUACGACUUGUGUCUCCAAAUGGAUAAACCAGGACCAGUGCCGCACUCAGUCGAAGCCAACUAGACCACUGCUAGACCACUUUUUUCAACACCGAGUGUGCCAUGAGAAACUAUGUUAAUAAAAGGCAAAAAUGUGGAAGGAACAGGAAGAAUGAAAAAGCAAAAUAAAAAAGGGCAAAUUCUUGCAAAACCUCUUCAUCCCUAGCUUUUCCCAGAAAUCCUGGCAUUUCUUCAGUAAAUUUGUU
rnacentral:lncRNA from 1 species